rnacentral:lncRNA from 1 species
UUGAAGCAAUCUAAAGCUUCAGAUCGGCGAGAAAGCAAAUACGUACACAUAUCAAUAAUGGAAAUAAUCACACAUAUCCAUAAUGGAAAUAAUCAUCAAUGAAUGUGAGAAAAUAGCACGCACCAUGCCGGGCCCUCACAUUCAUUGGCCCACAAAUGUCUAAGUAGAUAGCUCUAAAGGAUGAGAGGCACGAGUAGCCUUACUGAAAGGCUUUCUACAGGCCUUCCCAGCCAAACAAGGCUCGCAUACAGAUAGGUCAACUUUGGCGAGAGACCCCAAAAGGCCUUCUCGAGCCAGUCUAUUCAUUCUAUCUUAACCCAUAUGGCUUAAUUUGGCAUGCCAUUUAACGGAUUCAUCCCAGAGAUUAGAAGAAGAAGAAGAAGCAAAUGCAAACCAAUCAUCCUCCAAAUCUAAUUUAAAGAAACCAUCAACUAAUGUAUCAUAUCCAAAUAAAGUACCACGAAAGAAAUAUUUAGGCGGUCUCUGUCAAAACGGCUCUACAAAGCUUUCCAACUCCACCACAAGGAGCUUGAUGUCGACUCUUCUGCGCUCCAUUGUUGUGACACUUCUUGCUCUUGGGUGUGAUCCCACCGCGAGCGUACAACAAGAGCGAUGGAAUGGUUUGCUUCCAUGCGCUCUGCCUCGAGCUCGAGAUGGCACGAGAUGUCAUUAAACGUAAUAUUCUCGCUGUACGCCAUUGGGAGCUUUAUUUGGGACCAUUCAUGAUCAGGCAGUGAAUGAAUCACUGCUAGAACUUAUUGCUGAUCAAUGAGCUCGUUUCCAGCAGUCUUAAGGUCCCGAAUGAUGGCGCUCAUCACACGAAGGUGCUCAGCCAUUGAAUGCUUCGGAUCUUUAAUAUACUGUAGAAACUUGAGAUUUAAGGCACAUAGCCUCAUAGAUGAAGAUUGACCAAAAGUAAUCUUCAGAUUGUCUCACGUGUCCUUGGCAGUUUCAAAGAUCUCAAACUGUCCAAUGAGGUCAUCUUGCAUGGCGCACAAUAUAGUAUACCGAGCAGUUCGAUCUUCCUUGAUCCAUUUGUUAUAGAUCUCUUUUCAUGCUCAGAAGUUGUGCCUUCGGCAAGCAUGACUCGUUUGACAGAGAGAGUUUCAAGAACCUCUUGUUCAUUAAGCAGGUAUUGCAUUUUUCUAUGUCAAAUAUCAUAAUUCUUUCCAUCUAGCUUAUCACCCCUGGUGAGAUCAGCUAAGAUGUUUUUGGAAGUCAUUUCACUACAUUCAAAAAAAAAAUAGGUUUAGACAUUAGGCACAUUUUCAAAAAUUAACAAGAUUGAAAUACUAUCCUCGACACAAUGGGAUCGAAAAUUAUGCUAUGCUCGUAAUCAUCACCCGGUGUUGGUUCAAAUGUUACAAUCUCAUUAAUUUUUCUAUUAAUUUUGAACUUAUCCAAAAAUUGGAACUCAUCCAUUUUGAAGAACACAUCCUUUUCUUGAAAAAUAUUUAUGUAAGGAGAACUUAUCUCAUAAUAUCAUCACACAGAUAAAAAAAUAAGUAUUUAUGCCAAAAUUUAAUUUGAAAAAUGUCGACGCUGAGCAAAAUACAUUCCUUUACGCGGCCUUAAUUAUUACAUCACUUUUUGUAUAAUAAAACCUACUACAUCACUACAAGAUGUACAUCAGAAAAAGAAUGUUCUACUGGAAUGCUGGACACGUCGAACUCGUUUUUCCAAAAUUAAAUUUUGUUGAAAAAAAUACUGAAAUAACAUAAAUACUUAUAUGCCAAAAAAAAAAAAUUAUACAAUCACAUAUGCUACAUUAGCAUUUAAAAUUCACCCACGUAGGAUAAAUUAAACAUGCAUGUUAUACAAAAAAAAUAUAUGUAUCCCAAAAAAAUAUAACCACGCAAGAAAUAAAAAGUUUACCACACAGAAAAGAUUUUUAUUUUUUUUAUUUUAAUGGGAAAAAAUAAAAAAAAAUACUGUGUGAGCAUUUUCAGGCCGAACAGUGGCUGCGUCCGUAUGUACAUCGGGCCGGGCCGGGCCCACAAGCCUGCCCGAGCCCUUGCGGUGCACAACGGGUCGGGCCCGGGCCAGAAGCCCGCCCGAAUCCCACAGGGGCCGCGCCUCUGCACGCAACAUGUCGGGCCGGGCCUGCAAUCCCGCGCGCGUGGCGGGCUGGGCCAAGCCUGCAAAUCCCCCGCACUGCGCGCGAGUAGGCGCCCGCAACCGGCCGGUCCGCGCGGUGCACGCGUGUAACACACUAGACCUUUGCAAAUUGCGAGGUUCGAGUAUUUGAUCGGUGUUUCGAGUUUUUUCAGAUAUUCUGGAGGGUCGUUGAUAGUAUUCCGACCUAUGGCUCGUAUCCCGAGAAUUGAGGUAUUUAAAAUAGCGCUAAGGUCACCAAAGUGGAGGACUUAGGCUGCUCUGGGGUUGCUUUCUGCAGGAAAGUGUACCGGUACACCUUGAUGGUUGUACCGGUAUAGAAAGUGUACCGGUUACACCUUGAUGGUUGUACCGGUACAAAUGUGGUGAUUGGCCAACCCGAGGCUCGGGUUUGUGUGUUCGAGGGAUUUGUACCGGUACACUUUCCUGUGUACCGGUACACUUUGGCAGACUGCAAAAUGACAGUUUUUCGGGGGUGUAUUUGUAUUGUGGCUUAUCUAUAAAUACCCCUACAGCCCCCCAGCAGCUCUUUUGAGCCCUAGAACGUGGAGGAGCUGAGGUGAGCCCUCUCUUUGAUCUUUUCUACAUUUUGGCUUGGGUUUAGCUAGUUUUGAUCCUCUUUUCUUCUCCUCUUUGCUAUAUGUUGGGAUUCCACCAUUGGAGAAGCUUUGUACUCUUGUUGGAGCUUGGUAGAGGAUCAAUCUUCAGCCCUAGUGAAGUCUAGGCUUGGUUUGGAGCACCUUGUGAGGUUAGUACUCUUGAUCUCUCUUUUGGAUCAAGUUUUGGAGGAUUUUUGUUAAAUGAAACCUAGAAUGGAUAUUAGGGUUAGAAAUGAGGAUUUUUGAUUAGUAGCUUAUGGAACCAAAUUGAUUGGUUUAGAACCUUGGUUUAGGUUGGAUUUGAAGGCCUCUACCUCCAUUUUGGAGAUCGAGAGAGGUUCCUUCGCAUUCGGUGAGUUUUUCACCUUUUCUUGAGUUGGUUAAAGAUCGAACUUAGGAUUGUUCGUAACAUUCAUGUAUCUCUCUUUUCCUUACCUUUAGGGUGCGUUUGGUUCGAGUUAUCCUGGCAAGAUUACAGGCAAUCCUGCCAGGAUAACUAUGUUUGGUUAAUCCGCUAUGUAAUCUAGUCGUUAAUGUAGCAUUACAAAUCGAGCAGGAUUACAUCGAAAAUAUUAACGGGAGGGGGGUCGUGUAUCUUGAAUUACUGAAACCCGUUAAUACUACAUAUUAUGUAAAAUAACAAUUUUACCCUCCAACAACCCCAAAUCUAAUUAACAGUAUUAUUUUCAUCUCUCUCUCGCCUUCCCCCCAACCCUCUCUCUCGCACACCGCUUUCUCUCGCUCUCUCUCUCUCUCUCUCUCUCGCACGAACACCUAUCAUCUUCUAUUGCGUCGUCCUCCCAAGUAAUCAUCACGAUCUCCUUCCCUCCAUUCGUCAUUUCCACAAAAAUAAUAUUCAAAUGACCACAACAAGGGCAAUUUUGGAAAUAAAUAUACUUUUAUGUCAGGAUUACUAAAUUUUAUAAACUGAACCAAACAUAUUAAUGCUAUAAACACUGUAAUCUAGUAUUACAUUACUAUAUUAAACCAAAUGCUCUAAUGCAGCAUUAGUAGUAAUCUCACGCCGAAAUCCAAGAUACCUGGAUAUAUCGAGAUACUUUGUAAUAUUACAUAACUCGAACCAAACGGGCCCUUAGGGUGCUAAGAGAGUAGCGGGCACCUUCGUCGGCGCAAACGAAAGGCAGCCAAGAGUUUCGGUGGGUUUGACUUCAUGGAAUAGGGGAGAAAGUCUCCUAUGUGAUUUAUCCUUAUCGUUUCAUCAAAAUGCAUGAAUAUUUAUGCUAUAUAGGAUUUUUAUGAAUUUUAGAGUACUUAAAAUACAUGUGUUAUGUAUCAUGAAAAUUCAACUCUAUAUAGUAGAGCCAUAUGUGUAGUAAGCAUGCAUGUGAAAAGUAUUUUUUAUUGCAAGUUGGAAACAUGUCUCGUGUAAUGAAAAUGAUUAGAAUUAUGUACUCUUGAACAUAAAACUCAUGCCGGGACUUAGUGGACAAAAGUGUCAUAAAGGGGCACCCGAACUAGUAAACUGUGAAACUGCAACAUAGAGACAUAGUGAUAGGCCAUUGUGACAUCGACUAUAUUCCAUGUUUUAGACAUGAUGACAUAGUGAUAGGCCAUUGAGAUACUUGCUAUAUUCCAUGUUUUAGACAUAAUGACAUAGUGAUAGGCCAUUGAGAUACUUGCUACAUUCCAUAUUUUAGACAUGAUGAAUUAGGACUUGAGAUGGACUUUUACGCUUGCUUGCCAUUGUGCUCAUUCGCACAUGCUUGUGAGGGUCGCUCCCGACAAGCCGGCACUUUGGAGAUAGCCAUCGCGACACAUGCUCGCCCGUGCGGGAUUGGGCACCGAAAUGGGAUGCCGUGGGGGAGGCUCAUUCCUAGAGUGGGAAUGUUGACUACCAUGGGGCCAUUAGGCACGGUGCAGGCCGGACUACCCACGGGUAGGUCCUACAUGAUUGGAACAUUGGUAACUUAGCAUACCGAGAGGACAUUGACUAGAAUAGUAAAUAAUGACAUUUUACUAUUUAGCUUGUGGACAUUAUGUUAGUUAUACUCUUGUACAUUUAUGUUACUGUAGCUUUAUUACUUAUGCAAAUUCAUGCUAAGUAGAAAUAUCAUAUUAUAGCAAGCUUUCAUGUUAGUUGUUUAUAGUUCAUAUCAUACUUGUGCUUACCCUUUCAGCUUUUGUGCCUAGUGGUGCAUUUCACUGAAGUCAGUAAUUACCCACUGGGAACUAUUAUUUAAUAGUUCUCACGCCCUCUGUUUUACGAUUUUCUUUCAGAGCCUUCAGCACUGGUGGAGGCACAGGAUUGCAGCAAGGGGGUCGCGUAGCUAGAUAGCGAAGCUUGCUUUUGCUCGUAGGUUGUUUACUCUCUUCUUGUUUGCUGUAGAGAGAGUGAGAGGUUUUGGUACCAUGUAUAGAGACCACCAUUGUACUACUCUUAGCACUUGUAUGUGAAUUUCGGAUGUACUAUCUUAUGGUUUUAUUUUGGUGGAGUUUAGUCUCUUGUCUACUCUUUUGUUGUAGAAUCUAGUUGUACUUCGCUUUGAUACUCCUAGAUGUUCUUCUUCUAUUGCUUUAUUUAUCGUUUUAUUGUAGACGUUUUAUAUGUUUUAGACGUAUGGCGGGUCUGGGCACGCACCCGGCGGGCUUCCGCUGCGUCCCGGGGCGUGACAGCGUGGGUGCGCGUCCCCGCCCGCAGCGGGCCCUAUCCCCGCGGUGCGCGCGGGUGCGCGCCCGCGCCCGCUGCGCGCCUGCCUUCCCCCGCGCGCGGCAGGCUCCCGCAUACGUGUCCGCUGUGCGCAGGUCUUCCAGCGCCAAUAGCGGGCCGGGCCGCGCUAUUGUGGGUGCGGCAAGCCGGGCCGGACUCGCAAGCCCCCGGGCGCGCAGUGGCCGUGGCGUCACCAGGGUGCCCCUCACAACAUUUUUUUUUAAUCAUGAAAAAUAGAAAAAAAAAAAAAUUGCAUGUUUUAUGUUCAAUUAUAAGAGAAAACUUAAACUAAUUUAGUUUUUCUUUUCUUUCUCUUAUUAAAAUUGAUUUCACAUAGAAACCAAAAAAAAAAAAUUUGUAGAACUGCUUUACAUAAAAGAUUGAUCAACGAAACAUUCGAUCUAAAAACAGGCAUCACAAGCAUGAUCAAAGGCGAAAAUAAGCAUAUGGCUCCGAUACCAAUUGUUGGAAAUAUUAGGGCUGCGGAAACUUACAAACCGGAUUGCCAACGUAUCCGGAAACUGGAAUCAGAUCGGAUUGCUUGUUUUACGAGCCUUCUUGGAUCGUUCUUGUCUCAAUGCUUCUGGAUCUCUCACGUUUGUUGCCUUCUUCCACGCGUACGCUUUACAGAUACCAAUCGAAAAGGGCUACCAGAGUACUCUUCUAUGUCCACACUCCAAAACCCCGGAAACGUAGGUGGAAAUCCCAGAAAGGAAGAAGAGAGAGAAAAUUUAUCGUGGAUUCUUUCGAAUUAGAUCAUAUUCAAUCGUCACUUAUGGGAGAGAAAAGGGGGACGUAUUUAUAGAAUAAUGGAAUCUCUAGAUAUCCUGAAUCUCACAAAGAGAUUAGGAUAAGGACUAGGAUUAGGAUAUCCAUGAUAGAUAUCCACUAGAAGAUAUGUUUCUUAACUAAUAAGAAACAUAUAAUUUAUUCUGAUCCUUAACUUAUUAGGAUAAAUCUCAAUCCACAUCUUAAGUGAAUCGGGUUAAAUUAAAACCAGCCAAUGUGGACACACCACAUGGCAACAAUUUCAAAAGAAUGAAAUUCGCAAAUUUGUUCUAAUUCGAUAUGUAAGUUGCUCAAUAUAAGAAGUUCUGAAAUCACUGAGAAGAGAAGUCGAGGUACAUCAUACCUCGAAUUGUCUAAAAGAGCAAUAUCUUAUACCUCGAGUACAAGGAGGCCGAAGAGAGUAAAGAUGGUUCUCUUUUUUGAACCACAUGGGCUUGGAGGCCAACAAUGGUUGUGAAAUUGACGAACAUUGGAGUAAGGAUAUCUGGCCAGAAAAUCAAGAAAUUGGUAGAGGUAGACCAAAGAGAGAUACAAUAAGGAGAUAAUAAUUAGAUUUCAGGACCACCUUCAAUAGUUGGAUAGCAAUAAAUAUAUCACUGUCCUUCUAGAAAUCGCCCCAAGCUUUUUCUACUCAAGCUGCCUCUUGAAGGAAUUCCUUAGAAGAGGACAACCAUGAUUGGGGAGAAUGUCUAUGGGGGCCCCUAGGAGAAAUGUCAACAAGACUAUUCGUGAAAGUGACGAUGGGAUCUAAAUUAUGAAAUAGUUGGAGGACAUCCAAGAGUGACGAAGAGGCAAUGGAGGGCCCUUGGAUGUUUGAGAAUCUAACCAAGAAGCAGAUGAAGAACUUCAUGUCUGACGAUAGGGUCCUUAAGGAAAGAGUCAUCAGUAGGGAUGGAUGUGGAAGACAAAGCCAAAAUGAGAAAAAAAUGAGAAAUGAGGAGAGUGGCAAGACUUAAGAAGAAAAUGAAGAAGGGAAGCUAUCUCAGCAGACAAGACAAGGAUUUUAAUCGAAAGAAAGUGUGCGACGCAAGCCAUAUUUAUGUCGGUACACCAACCAAUGACAUAUGAGUAAGUGUCCUACGGUGUGAUGGAUCACCUCUUGUCAUCAUUGUAAUGAUGGGAAUGAGUUAAAUGCAUGCCUAAAAUCCCAUAGUAAUGGGUUGUCACGAGUCGCUUUGAAACCCUAAAUAGUGGUAGCGAGGCUUUCAACGAUUUGUCCCAUUCACAAGUAACUGCUGAGGGGGACAAUUGUUGAUAAUGAAAAUAAGUUGCAUCAAGACGAAGCAUCAAUGAGGACUUUGAUAGGAAAGUUUGCUGAAGAAUACUCAAUUUGGUCCUCAGUGAAAGUACCAACUUCGGUAUCAGAAGGCGCUGAUUUGAAUUAAGUAAUUCAAAAUUCAGAUAGGUGCGGUCAAGAGCAAAGAGCUAAGGAGGCAAUUGAGGAAAGAAAGGUGGUUAACCAUAGGAGUUACUCCUAUGAUCAUGAUAAUGCACCUAUAAAAAAGCAAAAGCAGCUAUUGUGCAGGGGAUCCGAACAUCAAGCGAGACAUGAGUGAGACCCCAAAUAGUCCUAUAUAUAAGAUAUAAUACUACUAGAACUCUUAAUUCGGCUUAAGCAUGUUGGGUGGUGGCAAGACCGAAGAGGUUAAGAGAGUUAAGCGUGCUAGGACGGGAGUAGUCCUAAGAUGGGUGACCCCCUAGGAAGUUGGGGCGUCAUAGUUGGUAUCAGAGCCAAUUACCAACAGAAAAUGUGAGAUGAGUCUCAGCUGAGCCAAAAUUGUACAGUGGAGAGAGCAAGACUCUCAUACUGUUGACUGUUGUUGGUAGAGCGCGGCUCCCCUACAAGGUCGGUUUAGGCUAGCGAGACGAGUCUCACAUCGCUAAUACUUGUGAUUCUUAGCCUGACGAGGACGUCAUGGCUUAAAGGGGGGGAGAUUGUGAGUCUCCAAAUAGUUCUAUAUAUAAGAUAUAACAGGGCUAGAACUCUUAACCCGGCUUAAGCAUUUUUGGUGGUGGCAAAGCCCAAGAGGUUAAGAGAGUUAAGCAUGCUAAGACGGGAGUAGUUCUAGGAUGGGUGACCCCUUGGGACGUUGGGGCGUCACAACAUGAGUCUAUAUCUUGCUUCCGAGGACUAGGAGUAAUUGUAAUGCAAUUUAGGUAUAGCUAUAAUCUACUCUAGGAGUAAUUGUAACGUAAUCUCCACGACCACUUAGUCUUCGAUGACAUCACCUUCGAUGAUCAUACCAUUCCCAUCUCGUCCUUAUCAGCUAACGUGCUCUCCUACACUGCAAGCAUCCAACCUAUUCACUCUUAAGGAUCGCCACUAUACAGUAGCCACGCAUCAUACCUUCAGCCCAGACAGCAGCCGAAGCUCGAAAGCUGAAGCAUCCAGCUUUCGGCUCGCGUUUGGGAAAAUCUCGAGGCCUUUCCAUGAGCCCGAACCUAAUUGGAUUGUUCCCUCUCUGGUCCGCACCUAAAUCAGAGUAAGAUCAGCCUUCGCAUGGAAGGACAGAACACCAGUUGGUGGAUGAACUUAAUCACACCGCAUGUUGGGAGCAGUUUUUCUCUACCAAUAACAGCUAACCUUCUUUUUUCGUAUCUUUUUGCCAACAAAAAAAGGAACUUUAUUUUUACGUAUCGCACUUUUUCAUCGUAAAAAUGUUCCUUUCUAUUAAAUAUUAUAGUAUUUGGUAGCUAUCAAAUGUGACUGUCACUGUUAUUACUAGUAACACUUGAAAUGGAGCUAUAGAUUCAAAUUCAAAAGAAAGAUAACCAACAUUGCAACCAUUAAUGUGAUAAGGAAGUCUCAUCGGCAACUCUUAUAAUUUUCAUGAAGAAAAAAAAAAAAUUACACCUACUUGAUGAGCUUCAACCAAUAAAUAAAUGGUUAAAUUGAACGAUUUUCUAAAAAAACAGAAGAUCAGAUUCUUCAAUUCAAGGUUAAAGUCAUUAACUUUAGUCUAGAUUAUAAUUUUUUUAACACCUACUUGAUGAACUUCAUUAUAAUUUUGAAAUAUUACAAAUUUUGAUUUUUAAGUACUUCAAAUAUUAUAGAUCAUAUUUAACGUUAUGGAACUUCUAUUUGGAAAUUCUAUUAUCAAAAAUUUUUACUUAUGAGUGUGAAGACAUUCGUAUUUAUAAAAGUAUAUGUGAUUCGAUAAAAUAGUAUAUUUUAACUCAAGGUUUUAAGUGCCCGUUGGCACGGGGCGUAUCCACCGUGCCGUACCGUAUCAAUAAGAUACCGGCACGAUACAAAUCCUGUGCUGAUGGCACAGCUCAAAACUCUCUAUUCUUUAAAUUAGUAAGUAAUUUUCUAAAUAAAGUUCAAAAGAUGUGAUAAAAAGACAUAAUAAAUAGUUAGAAUAUUCUGUUGCUAAAGAAAAUAAAUAUUUCAUGCUAUUAUGUGUCAGCACACAAGAAUUAUUUUGACCGGCACGCAUCGACACAGCUCGGCACGCACCGUGCCAUACCAUGCCGACAAGUUUCCGGCACGAUCCCGUGCCACGGCACUUAAAUCCUUGUUUUAACUACUAUGUCACCAAAAUCAAACAUUAAGGCAAGAGCAAAUCUGAAAGAGAUACCUUGCGCUAAAAGGGACUUCAGUGUAAGACUCGAGCUUUGAUAGACAAUUAUGCCGAUGUUUCUUCAACAAAAAGAUUUGGCGUUGGCAUCGCCAAAAAGGAAGUUUUGAUGUUCCCGCUUCGGCAACGAAUAGGCGGGGCUCGAAAACUAUUCGACAUGAGGAAUUCGAAGUUCAAACAGUAGCGUGCGCGCCGAAGAGAUUAGGGUUGAGCAAGAAAUUCAGAAGCAGUUGCCGAAAGAAAUGUGGUGAAUCAUGGGGAUUUCUCUGACAAUAGCGACUACGAGAUUACAAAACAAAAGGACAUCUACAGAGAAGAGAAUCUGAACAUCAACACAUCAAAACUUUCAUGCUUUAUCUUUCCUGCAUUAGGAGUAGGCGUAAUGUAAAGUAGGAUCGAGUGGCUAUAACGAACCACAUCAUUUCUCGAGGAUUGAACCCGAUCAGGUUGUGCCUUUCACGACCUGCGCCGGAGACAAAGUUAGAUUUUGGCCUGCAUAUCGAGGGACAUCAGACGGCGGAUGGCCAAAUCGCGCCACAUGUCAUCACGCGAGCUCGACACCAACAUCUAAAAACCUAAUUUAUCUUAUUCUGGAAAAAGAACAACGGGAAGGUGGGAUAUGAUAUUUUUAGUUUAAACAUUUGAUCACACUCCUCGUGUUAAAAAGUAAAUAAAUUUCCUGAGUAAAUCAAAGAAAAGUACUAAAUAAAAUGUUCAAGCAUCACCAACCGUUCCUAGCAAAAGUGGUAAAGGACUUGAUGGUUGGUAACCACAGUUUCAAGUUCGAAGUCAAGAUGCUUCAUAUUUUCAAAUAAGUUCAUUUCUAUAAAAAAAAAAAAACGUAACAGAUAGUAGAAGUGAGCUCCUAUGCUUUUAAGUCAUUGGCGCUGGUAGGUUUUCGUGUCUUAGAUUAAGGGAUAUGCAAUUUACGAUCAUAGUGGUCCCCUAGGAUUGAGUGAGUGGUUGGUUGAAUAGCAUGAUCUAACAGGUGAAAACAAUCAAUAGAGUAAAUUUAACACAAAAAAAUUUACAACUUGUACAAUAGCCAGGCUCCAGAUAGUAUGCCAUUUUAAAAAAAAAAAAAAAUUUAUAGCAUCUAAGAAUGGUCCGAAAGUUGAGUUGUUUAUUUCAAAAGGAUCUGCAGUCAAGUCAAGUGCGAGGUGUACAAUUUUCUGCAUUUUAAAAAGGCAGGGGGCAUGUGAUCCUCGGAGGCUCAGCCCGGGGAUGUUUUGUGGCAUGGAAAUCAAGUGUUGACCAUGCCUAUACAGACAAAGUAGUACUUCACAUAUGGUCCUUGGAAUUGAUUCCAUACAUGAUGGAUCUGUUAAGAAUAUACCUUCUUUUGAACCUGGGUUGAGUCAAAUUAAUUAACCCAUUAAGUUGGUUCAUAAAAUAUAUCAAUUGGUUUUGAAAUUGAUUCUCAUUGGUGAAAGAUACGUGCUUAUCUAUAUAAGAUUGAACUAUAUCUUUACCUCGGAAGGAUAAAGAUAUAUUAGGAUUGCACGUAUUAGAAGCAGAGUCGGUUUAUGCUUCUCAAGCCGAGUCCAAUUGAUACUUGUUGACUUAUUGACCGAGCUAAUGCAUUAUAUAUACAUGCAUUGUGAGCCGGAUUGCAGUGUGGCCAAAAUUAAUUAAGUCUUGGAACCGUACGACAGUAAAGAAAAGGAGAGGCGUCAUGUGUGAGAAAAUUAAUUAGCAUCGGGCUAAUUAAUUCACAAGCUUCCGGAGGCGUACGGCAGCAAGGAACCUAAUUAAUUAAGGUGGCUCCGUCCGUACGGUUAGAGAAGAAGCACCGCGUCUUUGCAUGCGACGUCGGAUCGGAGUCGGCAGCAAGAGCGGCGGUUCUCAACCAAUUGCCUGAGCAGUUCGGAGUCUUCGAAGCAACGGCAUAAAGGAAUUUGGUUAGAGUUUAUAUACUUCUCUAAUUUGGUCUUCUCGGUUUUACGAAAAGCUUUUUCGGUAUUUUCUUGGAGUUUUCGUUGGAACAAGAAAGGUGGGAUUCACCAUAAGGUUCUUGAUUUUUUAUCCGAAUAAGACAUAAGGUGUAAGCUUGUACUUCUAUUUUUUCAUAUAGUGGAAUACAUCUCUCUCGCUCUCCCCGUGAACGUAGGCAAUUGCCGAACCACGUAAAUCUUGAUUUCUUCUUUCUGCAUUUAUUUCUUUUACCGUUCGGUCGAUUUUCUCUAUUUUUCGUACAUCUUUGUUGGUAGCACAUGACGGACGAUCCAUCCGGUUCCCAACAGGAUCUUCUUCACCUUCCAC